GACGAACGCUGGCGGCGUGCUUAACACAUGCAAGUCGAACGGAAAGGCCCUGCUUGCAGGGUACUCGAGUGGCGAACGGGUGAGUAACACGUGGGUGAUCUGCCCUGCACUUCGGGAUAAGCCUGGGAAACUGGGUCUAAUACCGGAUAGGAGCCAUUUUUAGUGUGAUGGUUGGAAAGUUUUUUCGGUGUAGGAUGAGCUCGCGGCCUAUCAGCUUGUUGGUGGGGUAAUGGCCUACCAAGGCGGCGACGGGUAGCCGGCCUGAGAGGGUGGACGGCCACAUUGGGACUGAGAUACGGCCCAGACUCCUACGGGAGGCAGCAGUGGGGAAUAUUGCACAAGGGGCGCAAGCCGGAUGCAGCGACGCCGCGGGGGGGAUGACGGCCUUCGGGUUGUAAACUCCUUUCGCUAGGGACGAAGCUUUUUGUGACGGUACCUAGAUAAGAAGCACCGGCUAACUACGUG
rnacentral:rRNA from 1 species